GCCUUUAGGGUAUUAGGUUCCGCCUUCUAGCUUGCUUCCGCGCCUGAAGCUGUGUCUCACCGCCGUCCCUUCGCCUCGCACCCGUCUUCUCCUUAGGCACGGGUCCGGAAUCUCUGGGGAAGGGAUAAGGACUGCGCAGGAGGGAAGGGGUCCGGUGGUUGUUGGGCACAGUCGAUCUAGCUGGGAGGUUCUUCCUCUUGGCGUGUUCUAAGGUUUGGAGCCCUCUAAGCUCUAAGCAGAUUAGGAAGUAAGUCCGACCAGAAGGAAGAAGCCAGUGUCAUCAAUUGUCGCAGAAGGUCCCAGCGCGGUGCUCCGAGGGAGUUCCCCCAGAGGUCGAGGCACUUUUGCAAACGAAAAUCCCCAACAUAUGUGGAAGACGGACAGAUAGGCCCUCCUACGGUACCUGGGUCCAACAAGGAGGAUUGAACAAAGGCUCUGGAGGGAAUCGUGGCCCAGGUGACGUUCGGCCCCCUCCCCUGUAGUCGCCACUGCCACCCUCAGGAGUGCUUAAAAACCUAAUUUUCACUAGGCGUGGUGGCGCACGCCUUUAAUCCCAGCAUUUGGGAGGCAGAGGCAGGCGGAUUUCUGAGUCCGAGGCCAGUCUGGUCCACAGAGUGAGUUCCAGGAUAUAUUCAGGACUAUACAGAGAAACCCUGUCUCAAAAAAACGAAAAAAAAAAAAAAAAAAAGAAAAAGAAAUAUAUUUAUGUGGACUGGUGAGAGCGUUUGCUGCCAAGCCUGAUGCCCCGAGGCCACGCCCAGGACCCAUAUGUUAGAAAAACUGAAGCGACUCCAGCAAAUUGUUCCCUAACCUCCACACAAGCACAGUGGCACACGUGCUUCUAAGUAAUAAAUACAAAUAAAUAUGAAUAUAUAAAAGUAUAUA
rnacentral:lncRNA from 1 species